UACAGAGGUCCCAAGCGUUGUUCGGAUUCAUUGGGCGUAAAGGGCGCGUAGGCGGCUUAACAAGUCACUUGUGAAAUCUCCGGGCUUAACUCGGAACGGCCAAGUGAAACUGUCAAGCUAGAGUGCAGAAGGGGCAAUCGGAAUUCUUGGUGUAGCGGUGAAAUGCGUAGAUAUCAAGAGGAACACCUGAGGUGAAGACGGGUUGCUGGGCUGACACUGACGCUGAGGCGCGAAAGCCAGGGGAGCGAAACGGG
rnacentral:rRNA from 1 species